GCACGCUCCGGCGCUAAAGACAUCAUUAAAAAGCUCCUCCAGAGAGAUCCUGCCAAGCGCUUAGGAGUCCACGGGAACAUCCGAGGCCAUCAUUUCUUCCAGCAUAUUGACUGGGUCUCAGUGGAAGCCCUUCGGAUGCCCCCACCACACAUCCCUGUACCAUCUACACCUCAACGCUGUGCCAGGCGAUUCAACCUGGACACAAUGAAGGCAGCAGCGGCCAAGAAGGGACCUUUACCAUCUAAACAUCAGGCCAUUUUCAGAGGGUUUUCAUUUGUCACCCGGUAAACCCUCCACCCGCUCUAAUGUCAUCAGAGCAAUAUG